AGUGAACGCUGGCGGUAGGCCUAACACAUGUAAGUCGAACGGCAGCACAGGAGAGCUUGCUCUCUGGGUGGCGAGUGGCGGACGGGUGAGGAAUACAUCGGAAUCUACUCUGUCGUGGGGGAUAACGUAGGGAAACUUACGCUAAUACCGCAUACGACCUACGGGUGAAAGCAGGGGACCUUCGGGCCUUGCGCGAUUGAAUGAGCCGAUGUCGGAUUAGCUAGUUGGCGGGGUAAAGCCCACCAAGGCGACGAUCCGUAGCUGGUCUGAGAGGAUGAUCAGCCACACUGGAACUGAGACACGGUCCAGACUCCUACGGGAGGCAGCAGUGGGGAAUAUUGGACAAUGGGCGCAAGCCUGAUCCAGCCAUACCGCGUGGGUGAAGAAGGCCUUCGGGUUGUAAAGCCCUUUUGUUGGGAAAGAAAUCCAGCUGGCUAAUACCCGGUUGGGAUGACGGUACCCAAAGAAUAAGCACCGGCUAACUUCGUGCCAGCAGCCGCCGUAA
rnacentral:rRNA from 1 species